UACGGGGGGGGCAAGCGUUUGUUCGGAAUUACUGGGCGUAAAGGGCGCGUAGGCGGCCUGCUAAGUCGGAUGUGAAAUCCCUCGGCUCAACCGAGGAACUGCAUCCGAUACUGGCGGGCUUGAAUCCGGGAGAGGGAUGUGGAAUUCCAGGUGUAGCGGUGAAAUGCGUAGAUAUCUGGAGGAACACCGGUGGCGAAGGCGGCAUCCUGGACCGGCAUUGACGCUGAGGCGCGAAAGCUAGGGGAGCAAACGGGG
rnacentral:rRNA from 1 species